rnacentral:rRNA from 1 species
AAAUUGAAGAGUUUGAUCAUGGCUCAGAUUGAACGCUGGCGGCAGGCCUAACACAUGCAAGUCGAACGGUAACAGGAAGCAGCUUGCUGUUUCGCUGACGAGUGGCGGACGGGUGAGUAAUGUCUGGGAAACUGCCUGAUGGAGGGGGAUAACUACUGGAAACGGUAGCUAAUACCGCAUAACGUCGCAAGACCAAAGAGGGGGACCUUCGGGCCUCUUGCCAUCGGAUGUGCCCAGAUGGGAUUAGCUAGUAGGUGGGGUAACGGCUCACCUAGGCGACGAUCCCUAGCUGGUCUGAGAGGAUGACCAGCCACACUGGAACUGAGACACGGUCCAGACUCCUACGGGAGGCAGCAGUGGGGAAUAUUGCACAAUGGGCGCAAGCCUGAUGCAGCCAUGCCGCGUGUAUGAAGAAGGCCUUCGGGUUGUAAAGUACUUUCAGCGGGGAG